rnacentral:rRNA from 1 species
UUCGGGGCGGGCCGACCGGUCUGCCGAUGGGUAUGCACUGGCCGGCGCGUCCUUCCACCCGGAGACCGCGCCUACUCUUAACUGAGCGGGCGCGGGAGACGGGUCUUUUACUUUGAAAAAAUCAGAGUGUUUCAAGCAGGCAGUCGCUCUUGCAUGGAUUAGCAUGGGAUAAUGAAAUAGGACUCUGGUGCUAUUUUGUUGGUUUCGAACACCGGAGUAAUGAUUAACAGGGACAGUCAGGGGCACUCGUAUUCCGCCGAGAGAGGUGAAAUUCUCAGACCAGCGGAAGACGAACCACUGCGAAAGCAUUUGCCAGGGAUGUUUUCACUGAUCAAGAACGAAAGUUAGGGGAUCGAAGACGAUCAGAUACCGUCGUAGUCUUAACCAUAAACCAUGCCGACUAGGGAUUGGAGGAUGUUCCAUUUGUGACUC